AUGCUCAUUUCAGAAGCACAUAGACUAAAACUGGAAUGAAACAAAGAGAUAAGCAUGGCCCCCGGGGCAAGGAUGAUGUGCAAAUUUGUGAAUUGUUCCAUAUUUUU